rnacentral:rRNA from 1 species
UACGAAGGGGGGCUAGCGUUGUUCGGAUUUACUGGGCGUAAAGCGCACGUAGGCGGAUCGUUAAGUCGGGGGGUGAAAUCCUGGAGCUCAACUCCAGAACUGCCUUCGAUACUGGCGAUCUUGAGUCCGGAAGAGGUGAGUGGAACUCCUAGUGUAGAGGUGGAAUUCGUAGAUAUUCGGAAGAACACCAGUGGCGAAGGCGACUUACUG